rnacentral:rRNA from 1 species
GAUGAACGCUGGCGGCGUGCCUAAUACAUGCAAGUCGAGCGAACAGAUAAGGAGCUUGCUCCUUUGACGUUAGCGGCGGACGGGUGAGUAACACGUGGGUAACCUACCUAUAAGACUGGAAUAACUCCGGGAAACCGGGGCUAAUGCCGGAUAACAUGUUGAACCGCAUGGUUCUACAGUGAAAGGCGGCUUUGCUGUCACUUAUAGAUGGACCCGCGCCGUAUUAGCUAGUUGGUGAGGUAACGGCUCACCAAGGCAACGAUACGUAGCCGACCUGAGAGGGUGAUCGGCCACACUGGAACUGAGACACGGUCCAGACUCCUACGGGAGGCAGCAGUAGGGAAUCUUCCGCAAUGGGCGAAAGCCUGACGGAGCGACGCCGCGUGAGUGAUGAAGGUCUUCGGAUCGUAAAACUCUGUUAUUAGGGAAGAACAAAUGCGUAAGUAACUGUGCGCGUCUUGACGGUACCUAAUCAGAAAGCCACGGCUAACUACGUG